AACGCACGAGACCUGCGGACCUGCGGAGGGAUCAUUACAGGACUCGCAAGACUCCUACAACCCUGUGAACUUAACUAUAAGCACGUUGCUUCGGCGGGUGUCUCGGCGAGGGUUCUCCCUCCCCGGGGCGCUAAGCCCGCCGGCGGCCUACUAUACUCUGUCUCUUUGCGUUGGCAUCUCGAGUACAAACAAACAAGUUAAAACUUUCAACAACGGAUCUCUAGAUCGGAAGAGCACACG
rnacentral:misc_RNA from 1 species